CAUUUGUUGCUUGUUUUGUUUUGUUUUCUUUUCAUCAUCUGUUUUUCAUGCAAACAUACCAUGUAUCAGUAAUGGUCAUUGAAUUCGAAUAAUAAAGACAUAUCAUCAUCAUCAUCAUCAUCCUUUUGAUUUAAGAAAUGCAGAUUUUAGAAAAUUAAAAUUUUCCGACUUUCAACAACAAAAUUUAUUCGAAAAAAAAAAAAGUUCCUCUUUCUUUUUAAAAUAACACACAAAUCAUUUAGGCGUCAACCGUUUUGGUUUUUUUUGUGUUUUGUUCAAUCAAUUCAAGUUCAACUAAGUGACUAAUUCCUGACCUCAGACUAUGAAAAUUGGUGGACAACAACAACAACAAACUGACAUUUUUUUUCUCACACAUCAAUAAUAUACAUGUUAAUCGAAAAAAUAUUUGCCCAAAAAUGAUGAUUAAUGGAUCCAAAAUGUAUCCCUAUGUACAAUUUUCAAUUGUGGAUUCUGAAUCAAAAAAAAAAACAAAUUCAUUCGAUUUGUUAUAAACCCGUGAUAAAUAAUCAUCAUAAAGAAAUGAAAAUGAAAUGAAAAUCCUGUUACUUUUUUUUCUUUUCUUGUUCUUCAUUCACUUUUGUAUGUGUCUGUGUAUUGUUUGAUCUAUCCGGACAGCAAGAGAUAAUGAUAUAAUAAAUAAAGAUGUAAAUGUCCUGACAUUGAUUGAAAAUGAUUUUCGAUGCUGCUUCAUACGACAGCUUCGUCAUCGUUUAUCGACAUUGUAUUCGAAUAGAAACCGGAACUUUAUCUUAUCAUUUCAUUCAUUGUGUCAAAACAUUCACCUUUGUCAAUCAUAUUUUCAUUUUGGUUCGGUCAAACACGCUACUCAUUCAAACAUCAUCCCUAUAUUAACGACAUUUUCUUUUCGAAAAGGAAAAAUCAUUUUAAUUUUUCCACCAUUUAUCGACCAAAUAUGACACUUAAAUUAUGAAAAUUAAUGCGAUCAACAUCACAAUCAAUUGCAAAAAAAUGGAUUAUCAUCAUUGUUUUGACAUCAAAAGAAAAAUAAUAAAAUAAAUGACCCAUGACAUUGAAACGGAUCAACAGAUCACUGAUUUAUCGAUCCACUUAGACAACGACGACCACCACCAUCAUACAUUUCCAUUAUUUAUCAUGAUUUUUUUUUCAUUUUCUCAUUCCUUCAGAUUCGAUUAGUUAUUUUUCUCAUAAUGAUAACAAAGUUUAGUCUCGAACAAAUUUAUGGCCAAAAAACAACCAUUUUCCAUUCACUGACCACAAUUAUCGAAACGAAACGAAAUGAAAAAACCAAUCUUUAACUCUUUCAACUUUUCUCUUUUCUCAUCAUU